UAACGCAUUAAGUUCCCCGCCUGGGGAGUACGGCCGCAAGGCUAAAACUCAAAGGAAUUGACGGGGACCCGCACAAGCGGCGGAGCAUGCGGAUUAAUUCGAUGCAACGCGAAGAACCUUACCAAGGCUUGACAUAUACGAGAACGGGCCAGAAAUGGUCAACUCUUUGGACACUCGUAAACAGGUGGUGCAUGGUUGUCGUCAGCUCGUGUCGUGAGAUGUUGGGUUAAGUCCCGCAACGAGCGCAACCCUCGUUCUAUGUUGCCAGCACGUAAUGGUGGGAACUCAUGGGAUACUGCCGGGGUCAACUCGGAGGAAGGUGGGGAUGACGUCAAAUCAUCAUGCCCCUUAUGUCUUGGGCUUCACGCAUGCUACAAUGGCCGGUACAAUGGGCUGCGAUACCGUAAGGUGGAGCGAAUCCCAAAAAGCCGGUCCCAGUUCGGAUUGAGGUCUGCAACUCGACCUCAUGAAGUCGGAGUCGCUAGUAAUCGCAG
rnacentral:rRNA from 1 species